GCCUCAGAUCGGAUGUGGCGACCUGCUGAUUUUAAGCAUAUUAAUAAGCAGAGGAAAGAAACUAAUCAGGAUUCCUCAGUAAUGGCCAGUGAAGAGCCCAGCGCCAAAUCCCCUUUAAGCGGCAGGCAUGGGAAAUGUGGCGUACAGAAGACCGACUCCCUGGAAUCGCUCAGGGGGCUCAAGUCCUUUCUGAUACAGUGUCACCCGCAGACAGUGGUAGGCCGGUAGCGGCCUCUGGCAUACCGGUCGGGUCUUCUCGGAGUCGGGUUGCUUGAGAAUUCCCAAAGUAUGUGGUAAACUCCAUCUACGACUUAAAUACGUACCGUAAGGUAAAGUUGAAAAGAACUUUGAAUAGCGAGUUCAAGAGAGCGUGAAACCGUUGAGGUAAACUGUGUGGGUCCAUGCAGUCCGCCCGCAGGAUUCAACAUGGCAGGCAGGUCGGCUGCCUGGAACAGUGGAUGCCCUCACAGGACUGCAGCCCAGGCAGACCAGGCCCCGCAGGGCGCAUUUCCUCUGUGGCAGUGCACCAUAACCGGCUGGGAAGGCCCCAGGGGGCAGGCGGCUCUCUGCUCUGGCAGCGAGUGUUACAGCCCCCUGACAGCGGUUUUGCUGUGUCCACGGGACCGAGGGAGAUUGACCGCUGUCAUGCCCUUCUCCGGCAACCGUCCUGGCCCCUCUUGGGGGUCACUGGGGCGCCGAUGGCAGACAGUGCUCCCAAUGCGACUCUAGUGAACUGCCCUCAGUGUGCCCCGACCACGUCUUGCCGCUGGACGGGGAGGCCCACAAAGGGCGUCUGGGGCCUGAGGUGAUUUCGGUUAACCACCCGAUCUGUCUUGAAACACAGGCCAAGGAGUCUUAGUCGGAUGGCCGAAUGAAACUGCAAAGAAGGGGAGCGCCGGUGUGUGCCAAUUGCGGUGGGAUCCCGCCGCGGUGGGCGCACCACCAACCCCUCUCACCCGCUCUGUCAGGGUGAUGGAGCAUGAGCGUGUGUGAUAGGACCUGAAAGAUGGUGAACUACACCUGGUGGAGGUCCGUAGCGGUCCUGAUGUGUAAAUCGGUCGUCCGACCUGGGUAUAGGGUCGGAAGACUAAUCGAACCAUCUAGUAGCUGGUUCCUUCCCGAGUUUCCCUCAGGAUAGCUGCCACACGGAAACCCCAGUUUUAUCUAGUAAAGUGAAUUAUUAGAGGUCUUGACGCCAAAAUGAUCUCAACCUAUUCUCAAACUUUAAAUGGGUAAGAAGGCCGGCUCGCUGGCGUGGAGCCAGGCAUUGAAUGCAAGUGCCCAGUGGGCAACUUUUGUUAAGCAGAACUGGUGCUGCGGGAUGAACUGAAUGCCGGGUUAAGUUGCCCGAUGCUGAUGCUCAUCAGACCCCAGAAAAGGUGUUGGAUGAUAUAGGCAGCAGGACAGUGGCCAUGGAAGUCAGAAUUCACGAAGGAGCCCCAGGGAGGGUUCUCUUUCCUUUGCGAAGGGCAGGGUACCCUGGAAUGAGUUUGUCCUGAAAGAGGGGCCCGAGCCUUGGAAAAUGUCGUGGUUCCAGCGUCGUGCAGUGAGCUCUCGCUGGUCCUUGUAAAUCCGGGGGAGAUGGUGUAAAUCUCGCUCCGGGCCGUACCCAUAUCCUCAGCAGGUCUCAAAUGUGAACAGCCUCUGGCAUGUUGGAACAAUGUAGGCAAGGGAAGUCGGCAAGUCAGAUCUGUAACUUCAGGAUAAGAAUUGGCUCUAAGGGCUGGGUCGGUCGGGCUGGGGCACAGGGCUGGGCAUGUGCCGCGGUUGGACGAGGUGUCUCACCCCCUUAACCCCCAGGUGGCGGCGUUGACUCUGGAUGCGAACCGGGCCCUGUCUGUAGCUCGACCCAGCUGCAGUGGUCGCCUUUCUCCGUUCCCCUCCCAGGGUUCGGGGCCGAUGUUCUGCCACGGCAGAUGCCUAGCAUCUGACUGGUGUGGACCAGGGGAAUCCCACUGUUUAAUUAAAACAAAGCAUCGCGAAGGCCUGCGGUGGGUGUUGACGCAAUGUGCUUUCUGCCCAGUGCUCUGAAUGUCAAAGUGAAGGAAAUCAAUGAAGCACGGGUAAACGGCGGGCGUAACUAUGACUCUCUUAAGGUAGCCAAAUGCCUCAUCAUCUAAUGAGUGACGCUCAUGAAUGAAUGAACGAGAUUACCACUGUCCCUACCUACUAUCUAGCGAAACCACAGCCUAGGGAACAGACUUGGCAGAAUCAGCGGGGGGAAAGAAGACCCAGUUGUGCUUGCCUCUAGUCUGGCACUGUGAAGAGACAUGAGGUGUAGGAUAAAUGGGAGGCCCUCGGGCUGCCGGUGAAAUACCACUUCUCUUAUCAUUUUUUCACUUACCCGGUGAGGUGGGGUGCGACCCCCAUGGGGCUCUCACUUCUGGCUCCAAACGCCCGGCAUCCGCCAUGCGCAAUCCGCUCCGGGGACAGUGGCAGGUGGGGAGUUCGACUGGGGCGGUACAUCUGUCAAACGAUAAUGAAGGUGUCCAAAAGUGAGCUCAGGGAGGACAGAAACCUCCAGCGGAGCAGAAGGACAAAAGUUAGCUUGAUCUCGAUUUUUCAAUAUGAAUAAGACCGUGAAAGUGGGGCCUCAUGAUCCUUCUGACUUUUUGGGUAUCAAGCAGGAGGUGUCAGAAACCUUAGCACAGGGAUAACUGGCUUGUGGCAUCCAAGCGUUCAUAGCGACGUUGCUUUUUGAUCUUUUCAUGUCGUCUCUUCCUAUCAUUUUGAAGCAGAAUUCAACAAGCGUUGAUUGGUCACCCAUUAAUAGGGAAUGUGAGGUGGGUUUAGACCGUCAUGAGACAGGUUCGUUUUACCCUACUGAUGAUGUGUUGUUGCAAUAGUAAUCCUGCUCAGUACAAGAGGAACCCCAGGUUCACACAUUUGGUGUAUGUGCUUGGCUGAGGAGCCAAUGGGGCGAAGCUACCAUCUGUGGGAUUAUGACUGAACGCUUCCAAGUCAUGAUCCCCCCUAAACCGUAACGAUACUGCAUCGCUGUCGUGCCUCGGUUGGGCUAGGAUAGCCGGCCUUUGGGCUGGUGCGUAGAGCCGCUCGCCUUGGGACUGCCCCCAUUUUUGGGCACCUGUCUCGUGCCUGGUUUCGAAAGUCCCCGAGCCCAGUGG
rnacentral:rRNA from 1 species